AGAGCGAACGCUGGCGGCAGGCUUAACACAUGCAAGUCGAGCGGGCGUAGCAAUACGUCAGCGGCAGACGGGUGAGUAACGCGUGGGAACAUACCUUUUGGUUCGGAACAACACAGGGAAACUUGUGCUAAUACCGGAUAAGCCCUUACGGGGAAAGAUUUAUCGCCGAAAGAUUGGCCCGCGUCUGAUUAGCUAGUUGGUGAGGUAAUGGCUCACCAAGGCGACGAUCAGUAGCUGGUCUGAGAGGAUGAUCAGCCACAUUGGGACUGAGACACGGCCCAAACUCCUACGGGAGGCAGCAGUGGGGAAUAUUGGACAAUGGGGGCAACCCUGAUCCAGCCAUGCCGCGUGAGUGAUGAAGGCCCUAGGGUUGUAAAGCUCUUUUGUGCGGGAAGAUAAUGACGGUACCCGCAGAAGAAGCCCCGGCUAACUUCGUGCCAGCAGCCGC
rnacentral:rRNA from 1 species